UACGAAGGGGGGCUAGCGUUGUUCGGAAUUACUGGGCGUAAAGGGCGCGUAGGCGGUACUUCAAGUCAGGCGUGAAAGCCCCCGGGCUCAACCUGGGAACCGCGCUUGAGACUGGAGAACUAGAGUUCGGGAGAGGAUGGUGGAAUUCCCAGUGUAGAGGUGAAAUUCGUAGAUAUUGGGAAGAACACCGAUGGCGAAGGCAGCCAUCUGGACCGACACUGACGCUGAGGCGCGAAAGCGUGGGGAGCAAACAGG
rnacentral:rRNA from 1 species